GAAGAAGAAACUUUUAGUGACACGAAUAUCGUCCACGACUUCGUAUUAAUGAAACUUAAUAAACAAAGCUAACAAGAACACGCAGAAUUUCUGGGCAUUUCCUCUUUGUUUUUCGUAGGAUUCUGUUUCACUCGCAAAGGGCGCGGUCGGACAAGUCGAUUUUAAUUACAAAUAUGCGAUAAUCGCUGACGAUUUACAAAGCGUUUCAUUGCACAGAGACGCUGGAAGGUCGCGUAAGCUUAUAUACGAAGAGAUGCGUAUUAAAAUAUUUAUGACCAAGUAAAAGCCGCUAUAAUCGCUUUGGUUUUGCUGUCAAGCGUUUUCUCCAUUUUCACGGUAUUUUAUCACCGAUCGUUUAGCGGUACCGUGUUAUCACACACACGUGACAACAGCUGUUGGUAACGAACAUUUUAUGAAACUUCGCUGUUUAAACAGUUACGUACUCCGAUGAUUUUUAAUAGUGCCUGUUUAUCCAUUACCUCGCAUGUCUUUUAUUACUUUCCAGUGUUUCUUUUAUUUUUAUGGAACAGGAUAGCGGUUUGGUUUCCAGUGAAAGGAAUUGGCAAAUAAAGUAUAGGUGAUCUGUAAAAACGUGUCUCAAUUUUUAACUCGGUCCGUGGAAAUGUUUCGACAUUAAAACGUGAGACACAAACCGGUAUUAAAUGGAAACUACUGUUGAAGCUUUUCACUACGACUCGCUAUUGAUAACAGUUUUGCUCAAAUUUGGAAUUGUAAAGUGACUAGUCAUUUUAGCAAUUCAAAUUCCAUAUAUUCGUGUAAAUAUUCGUAAAUAUUCGUAUUGUCAUCUCACGCUAAUAGAUAAAACCGCGUCUCUUACCAUUACCAAAUCUCCUCAACCGAACAAUGAAUCAAUUUCCAUCAAUAAUACAUACAAUUAAUUCAUUCGUUCAAAUCCUAAACCCAACCCACUCCUUUUUCAAAUCCCAAACCUGGAACGUGCUUCAAGGGAACAUCCAACGAUAUUAUUCUACUUUCGAUAUCCACGCACGUCUGUCGUAACCUAUUACGAAAAAACGAACGAUCGAUGCCUUUCACCAAUUCCAAUUCGUCACCCAUGUUGCGACAAGGCGAAUUCACAAAAACAGUCUCAAACGAAGAAUCAUGCAAACGAUACGAAUGCCAUAUUGGCCAUCUAUUUCGUAGAUUUUUCGAAGCUAGUAGUGGAUCCGUACACUAUCACGUGGCGCGGUCGAUGAGGAAUGCGGUUGGAACGCGGUGUGUUUCGUUUACACACGCUCGCCAGAGACCACAGGGGACCGCGGUGCCUUAUACACAAUCCACUUCACCUUUCGUUCUCUCUUUCGCGUUUUUUCUCUGUUCUUCUCUCUUUCUCUCUCGAUAGACCUUGGAUCGAGCGGUUUGACAUUUCGCGUUUAUCCGCUCGACGAUUAUCGCGAGUGACCAAAGCGACGAUGCAACCGCGCUUCAAUCGACAAGAUCUCUGAUAUCCAGCGCCGCGACGCGACUAGACACUCGGUGAAAUUGGGCAAUUGCGAUGGCGUUGAUGGGAGAUACGCUCCCUCGAUACGUGUUCAGAAAACCAAAUGAUAUUAUAUAUUCGCUGUUUGUUCCGAAGAGCUGGAAUUGAUUGCGAACGCGACAGAAUUCGGCUGAAAUUGUGAAAUCGAAGCUUUCGUGUUUUGUGUGUUGAUGUCUUGUGAUUGAUAGAUUCUUGGUGGAGAAAUAUAUUGUUUGGUGUGUUCGAGAAGAAUAGUUGCUUAGUGAUUUUUUACGUAUAUAAUAUUCCUUUGACAUAUUUCCAAUCACGUAACAGCAGAAAACGGAAAAGGAUCACAAGAAUAAGAAAUAUAGGAAUUAAAUUUGAAAGUUGAUAAAAGAGUGCGAGAAAGCGAAGGGAAAACAUUAAGAAUUGUUUCUAAGGAAAGCUAUUCGCAUUAAUGGAAAGCCUUAACGAUGAUUACGUUUAAUAACUUCUUUCUAUUUCUAACUAUAGCACGGUGAAAUGAUACAAAAUGUGAAAUAAGUAGCAAAAUGUCACAGUGUUGAAAAGGUGAGGGUCAACUUAGCUGUUAUUAAACCCGAAGUAAUUUCGUUUUAUGAUUCCUAAACUGCAUUCCAUUUUCGCUUUCACUUUCUUCGCUUUCUUAAGAAAUAACUGAAAAAAUGCUACUUAUGUGGAUAUUGUAAAUAGAUGAGCAGAAGAGCAUUUAUAAUAUAUGAGUUAUUAAUAACAUAUAAACUAGAAAUCUUAAUAUGUAUUUACAUCCAAAAAAUUAUUUAUAACUUCAUGUUACCCUACACUGUAUACAUAUAUUUAUAUUACGCACAUAUUAAAAUUAAUUUAGAAUAUGGGAAAAACCACAUGAUUCUCAGCGGUGAUGGCAAACAAUAAUGAGAAGAGACUCGUGAGAAGGUGUCCUUAAAUCUUUAUUAAAACGAGCAGUCUUAUAAACAAAAAGAUAUUUCGUAAUAUAUUUAUAUGCACUUCCCUAUCAGAAAAAUCUUUCACAUUAAUAAAACUGUUAACUUCCGGAAACA